rnacentral:snoRNA from 1 species
GGCUGACGCAUUACGUUGCUCUGGAUGAGGAAACACCC